UACAUGCAAGUCGAACGAACUCUGGUAUUGAUUGGUGCUUGCAUCAUGAUUUACAUUUGAGUGAGUGGCGAACUGGUGAGUAACACGUGGGAAACCUGCCCAGAAGCGGGGGAUAACACCUGGAAACAGAUGCUAAUACCGCAUAACAACUUGGACCGCAUGGUCCGAGCUUGAAAGAUGGCUUCGGCUAUCACUUUUGGAUGGUCCCGCGGCGUAUUAGCUAGAUGGUGGGGUAACGGCUCACCAUGGCAAUGAUACGUAGCCGACCUGAGAGGGUAAUCGGCCACAUUGGGACUGAGACACGGCCCAAACUCCUACGGGAGGCAGCAGUAGGGAAUCUUCCACAAUGGACGAAAGUCUGAUGGAGCAACGCCGCGUGAGUGAAGAAGGGUUUCGGCUCGUAAAACUCUGUUGUUAAAGAAGAACAUAUCUGAGAGUAACUGUUCAGGUAUUGACGGUAUUUAACCAGAAAGCCACGGCUAACUACGUGCCAGCAGCCGCGGUAAUACGUAGGUGGCAAGCGUUGUCCGGAUUUAUUGGGCGUAAAGCGAGCGCAGGCGGUUUUUUAAGUCUGAUGUGAAAGCCUUCGGCUCAACCGAAGAAGUGCAUCGGAAACUGGGAAACUUGAGUGCAGAAGAGGACAGUGGAACUCCAUGUGUAGCGGUGAAAUGCGUAGAUAUAUGGAAGAACACCAGUGGC
rnacentral:rRNA from 1 species